rnacentral:rRNA from 1 species
CCUACGGGGUGCAGCAGUGAGGAAUAUUGGUCAAUGGACGAGAGUCUGAACCAGCCAAGUAGCGUGAAGGAUGACUGCCCUAUGGGUUGUAAACUUCUUUUAUAUGGGAAUAAAAUGUUCCACGUGUGGGAUUUUGUAUGUACCAUAUGAAUAAGGAUCGGCUAACUCCGUGCCAGCAGCCGCGGUAAUACGGAGGAUCCGAGCGUUAUCCGGAUUUAUUGGGUUUAAAGGGAGCGUAGGUGGUUUGUUAAGUCAGUUGUGAAAGUUUGCGGCUCAACCGUAAAAUUGCAGUUGAAACUGGCAGUCGUGAGUACAGUAGAGGUGGGCGGAAUGCGUGGUGGAGCGGUGAAAUGCUUAGAUAUCACGAAGAACUCCGAUUGCGAAGGCAGCUAACUGGACUGCAACUGACACUGAGGCUCGAAAGUGUGGGUAUCAAACAGGAUUAGAUACCCGGGUAGUC